GAUUUAAUAGUUUAAAAUAAAACAUCGGUCUUGUAAACCGAAAUUAGCUUACUGCUUUUAAUCU
rnacentral:tRNA from 1 species